rnacentral:tRNA from 1 species
GGGGGUGUAACUUAUAUGGUAGAUUGCUUGCUUUGCAUGCGAGAGGCAAGUGGUUCGAUUCUCUACACUUCCA